rfam:Jaapia argillacea MTCL 33604 unplaced genomic scaffold JAAARscaffold_15, whole genome shotgun sequence.
GCCGGCGUGGCCCAAUGGUCAAGGCGCACGCUUCCUAAGCUGAUGGAUUGAACCUGUAUGCUGAAGAGCGUGAGAUUGCGGGUUCGAGUCCCGCCGUUGGUA